rnacentral:rRNA from 1 species
UUGACCUCAAAUCAGGUAGGACUACCCGCUGAACUUAAGCAUAUCAAUAAGCGGAGGAAAAGAAACUAACAAGGAUUCCCUUAGUAACUGCGAGUGAAGUGGGAAAAGCUCAAAUUUAGAAUCUGGCAGUCGCUUGGCUGUCCGAGUUGUAAUCUAGAGAAGUGUUGCCCGUGCUGGACCAUGUACAAGUCUCCUGGAAUGGAGCAUCACAGAGGGUGAGAAUCCUGUCUUUGACAUGGACUGCCAGUGCUUUUGUGGUACGCUCUCAAAGAGUCGAGUUGUUUGGGAAUGCAGCUCAAAACGGGUGGUAAAUGCCAUCUAAAGCUAAAUAUUGGCGAGAGACCGAUAGCGAACAAGUACCGUGAGGGAAAGAUGAAAAGAACUUUGGAAAGAGAGUUAAACAGUACGUGAAAUUGCUGAAAGGGAAACGCUUGAAGUCAGUCACGUUGACUCGGAAUCAGCUCUGCUUUUGCUGGGUGUACUUUCUUGUCAAUGGGUCAGCAUCAAUUUUGACCAUUGGAUAAAGUUGCUGGGAAUGUAGCAUCCUUUUGGAUGUGUUAUAGCCUGGUGAUGCAUACGGUGGUUGGGAUUGAGGAAUUCAGCACGCCACCAGGCCGGGUUUCGACCACGUUCGUGCUUAGGAUGCUGGCAUAAUGGCUUUAAUCGACCCGUC